AUGCCUAGACCAGAGGAGAUCAAGAUCCAAGCAAAAAAUAUCGAUGCUGCAGCAGGAGAGAUAAUUGGCAUUAUGGAGGAUACAAGCAAAGGAAAUGUGAUCUUGGUCGAAGGUUGGCAUGGGUUUGGGGCAUCAGCAGCACUCAAGGCAGUAGCGCAACGUCUGAAAUCAUCGAAAUCAAAGUUUGACAGGGUUAUUCAUGUGGAUUGUUCGUUGUGGAAAAGCAUGAGGGCCCUGCAAAAGGCAAUCGCGGAGGAGCUGGAGCUUCCGCUGUCGGUGAUGGCCAUCUUUGAUUGGUGGGACGAGGAGGAUGAUUUUAAUUUGAUAGACGAAGGCUCUCGAGGGGUGAUAGCAGAUAUCAGCACAGAAAUCUUCAGAAAGCUUGCUAACAGCAGAUUUGUAGUGAUAUUUCACAAUGGGAGUGACAAAUACAUUGAUCUGUACGAGUGUGGUGUCCCAGUAAUACCAAUUUUGAAUAAUAGGGUGCUGUGGACCUGGCACGGGAGGUUUCGACCUAGUUUUGGCAGCACCAGAAUCUGGAGAGGAGGUAAGGGAAUGGGAUACAUGGAGCUGAAUACGGAUGUUGUUGUCAACUAUUCUCAUGAUGAUUGCAUCCGUGAUGAAGCAUUACUGGAAGAGGCCAAGGAGGUUGUCACUUAUUUGCGUAUUCCAGAGCCUUACAUGAACCAUAUGAUUUUUGAGAAGUGCUUCCAGUACGCCUAUGCACUGGGAUCUCUCAGGCUCCCCGACCAGGGGAACUUGGGGUACUGGGAGUCGAACUGGCGGAGGCAUGCUUCAAACUACUUGGUAUGCGAUGGGAUUAUACAAGGGCAAGGUGAUACAUCAGCAUGGGGAGUUGCCGAUGCUCUAAAGAGAAACGUGCAUUUGGAUUGGCUUCUGGACUCGAGAGAGUCGGCUUGUGAUGACAUUCGUCGUCACCUGCAGCUGCAGGGCAGACUUCAUGACCGCUGGGUUUUGGUGGCACACAAGGGAGAUAAGGGCCUGCUACCUGAUGAUAUUGGCAUGGUGUAG
rnacentral:rRNA from 1 species